ensembl:misc_RNA 7SK 7SK RNA
GGAUCUCAGGUCGAUCUGGCUGCCUACUGAUCGCCAGGGUUGAUUCGGCUGACCUGGAUGGCUACAUGGGUUUCCCUUUCCUCCUUUACCACUCCAUGUGUGUCCCUCCUGAAGUUGCCACUGGGUCGAAGAGGACAGCCUUCCCCAAAUAGAGACGGAUCGGUCUUCAGUCGAGGGUAUAGGAGUAGUUGUGCUCCCCUGCUAGAACCUUCAAACAAGCUCUCAUUAUAAUCCUAAAAAAGAAAAAAACCAAAAUAUUGCUGAUUGAGGCAACAUAGUGCUUAUGCAAACAGAUUUCCAAAGUU